rnacentral:rRNA from 1 species
GACGAACGCUGGCGGCGUGCUUAACACAUGCAAGUCGAACGGAAAGGCCCUGCUUUUGUGGGGUGCUCGAGUGGCGAACGGGUGAGUAACACGUGAGUAACCUGCCCUUGACUUUGGGAUAACUUCAGGAAACUGGGGCUAAUACCGGAUAGGAGCUCCUGCUGCAUGGUGGGGGUUGGAAAGUUUCGGCGGUUGGGGAUGGACUCGCGGCUUAUCAGCUUGUUGGUGGGGUAGUGGCUUACCAAGGCUUUGACGGGUAGCCGGCCUGAGAGGGUGACCAGCCACAUUGGGACUGAGAUACGGCCCAGACUCCUACGGGAGGCAGCAGUGGGGAAUAUUGCACAAUGGGCGGAAGCCUGAUGCAGCAACGCCGCGUGCGGGAUGGCGGCCUUCGGGUUGUAAACCGCUUUCGCCUGUGACGAAGCGUGAGUGACGGUAAUGGGUAAAGAAGCAUCGGCUAACUACGUG